CGAAUAAAAUGUUACAAUGGCGACAUUCGGUGGUGUGUUAAUGAUGACUGUUGGUUCAAUACGAUUAAUAUAACAACACAAUUGAAUGCAAAUAGUGUGAAAAUUUGAUAUCAACAAAACUUAUAACGCAAUUGGACAGUUUCUUAAUGCUCUGUUAAAAUGAAAGUCCAUCAAUAAUGGGAGAUUUAUUCGAUAUUGCAAAUCUAAUUACCGCUGUCGGUGUUGACAGAAUUAAAAUUAAGCCGGAACCUGGACUUCCAGAGAAAUCAUCAAACGAGAUACUAACAGAGUUAUUUAGCACAUUUGAUGCUGAAGAAGAAAUAGCAUCACCAGACAUCACUGAUCAACAAGUUCCAAAUGCCAAUAUCAAAGUUGAAAAGCUUAAAAAGUCACAGGUUAAGAAGAAAAAAGCGAAAAAGAAACACAAACAUAAGGAUAAAAAACAUAAAAAAAGGUCGAAAUAUAACUCUUCCGACAGUAACAGCGAUCCAGAAAAUAAUAGUAUCAAGAAGAAGAAGAAGCAUAAAAAGAAAACGAAACGAAAACAUGAAAAUAAUUCAAGUAGAUCAUCGGAUACUGAUGAGCCCAAAAGUAAAAUAUCAAAAGUUAGUAGUUCCUGUGACAACGUAAAAGGAAAAUGUCAUAAUAAAGAUAAUGGAUUGGAGAAAAAGGAUCUAGUUGUCAGUACAAAUACCGAGGAAACUGUAAUGAUUAAAAAAGAACCAGGAUUAGAAAAUACUUGUACAAACAGUCCCGAAAGUCCUAGACUUCCACCAAUUUCAAGGAAAAUUCAUGACGAAAUCGAGGAGCCAUUAAUACCUAAAAUUCUAGAGAAGCCAAAGCAAUUGCUGCAGGGAAGAAUCUUAAUUAAAGAUCUAAAGAAUAGCGUAGUUUAUAACGACACAGUGAAGGAGAUAGAAAAUAAGGUAAAGGAAAAAGCAGCACGAAUGGAAGAUGGUGAAUUAUCCGAUAGUAGUACAGAUAAUAGGACUCCCACUUUGAGUCCCAGUCCAGUACGAAGUAAUUCGAUAAGAUCACCUACAUUAAGUCCAAGUUUAGAAAAAAUGGAGGAUAGAUUGUUAAAUUCAGCGAAAGGAGGAAUAACCUCUAGGAAUGAUUUGAGAUUGAUUUUGAGAGAAAAAGAAAAGAAAAGACUCGAGAAUAUGGAUAAAAGAUCGGACAAUAUAGAAAAAUCAAAGUUGUACAUGGAUAGCGAAUACAAAGAGAAAGAGUAUAAUUGUAAUCAAAAGACAACAAUAAGUAAAGAGAAUAAACGUAGUCAUAAUUGUCACUCGCACGAAAAGAGACGGUCCGAGUCUCGAUCACGCACAAGUUCUCAUAGGAGUAGAAGCAGAGGGAGAGAAAAACGAAGAGAUAGGAGCAAGGAUAGACGUGCAAAAAGUCGAAGUAACGAUAGACGUGAGUCUGUUAAAUCUAGAGAAAAACGAAGGCAUAGAAGCCGUAGUGAUGAAAGAAGCAGAGAUAAAUACUCGCGAGGAAGAAGUAGAAGCAAAGAACGAAAGGAGAGGAUAGAAAUCGAUAAAAAGAAAUUAUUAGAAAUAGCAAGAAGGAAUGCGAUAAACAUGAUUAAACAAGGAACAUUACCAUUAGCACAACAGGAUAAGGCUAUCGCAGCGAUACAAGCUGGUGGGAAAACAGUUGACGAACUGACAGAUUUUUGCAAAUCAUUAUCAAAGUCUGAAGCUUUGGGCGAACUUUCUAGUAUCUCUUCAGAAGAAGAUGGAAGCGAUACUGAGAAAGGUUUUCACCAUCCUUUUCUACUCAAAGGACGACCUAAUUCUAUUAUCAUGAAUAUUCGGGAUGCAAAGCAGCUGCCAACGAAAACGUUCCAAGAAAAGACAGUAGAAUCAUCGAACCAAUUACGUUUACAAUUUCCAGUAUCAAGUGGACAACAUCAUAGAAAAACUGAAAACGAGUGGGUACCAAUCACUCCUAAAAAACCGGAACCGAAGAAACAGUUUGUACCAGUCACUACUCCAAGUAAACCUCUGGCUGUAGUACCCAUACCCACACCACCGGUGCAUUCAAUGCAGUCAACAGUUUUUUCUCAACCAAUUCCAACAGAGUCAAUAGAUAUUGGUUCAAUAGUGUCACAAAGAUUAGCAGCAAUGAGAAAAUUAAGAGAAAAUCCAAAUGACGUGUGUGCUCAAAAUGAAAUGUACCGUGCACAAAAUGAGAUGAGAACAUGGGCUGAAAGUAAACAAAUGCCAGGUCAAUUUACAGGCAGUACAGGAGCCAAAGUGCUCUCCCCCGCAGAACUUACAUCAGGUUAUCAAGCCUGGGCUCGUAAGCUGGGAUAUUUAGCAUUAGUCUGCAUCCACCUGAGGGUUUGUUACAGGCACGUAGCUACAUCAGAGAAGAAACAACUUCAGCGGCGUGAUGACAAAUUUAUAAUUUAUUUGGAUCAAUUAGUAUCAGCACAACCUGUUUCGGGUGGGAUGGGUAUGGCUUUACUGCAGAAGAUGGGUUGGCGACCAGGGGAGGGUUUGGGAAAAAAUAAAGAAGGCACUCUUGAGCCGUUGCAGCUUGAGGUCAAAUUGGAUAAAAGGGGGCUUGUCUCCGAACAAGAUAUUGGUCAGAAGAUAGGAAAAACUACGAAACCGCUAGUACCUGCGAUCAAAACAUUAGAAGGGAAACAUCCAGUAUCGCUUUUAGGCGAAUAUUGCUCGAAACGAAAACUUGGUGCUCCAGUAUAUGAACUGUGUUUUGAAUGUGGACCAGAUCACAGGAAAAAUUUUCUUUUUAAAGUCAAAGUAAAUGGAAUUGAAUAUAAACCGAGCGUAGCAAGUCCUAAUAAAAAACAAGCAAAGGCAGAAGCAGCACAGAUAUGUUUGCAAACUUUAGGAUUGCUACCUGAACCCAAUCCAAUGCCUGUUUCAGAAACAUAAAAUUCUUAUUUCGACCUUAUGAAUGCAUUCAUUGCUGGUAUACGUGAUAUGCAACAACACAUGCUUUAGACUUUAUGUAUACAUCUUUUUUUCAGAUUAAACUGUAUAAAUCUGAUACGAUUGAGUAACAAAUAAAUUAUACCAGCAAGAAAUUCAGGAUAAGCUCUACAUCUUGGUCAUGUUGUUGACAACUUUAACAAAGUGUUAAAAAUUAUUUUUCG